rnacentral:tRNA from 1 species
GCGAGAAUGGCGGAACUGGCAGACGCGCCGGACUUAGGAUCCGGUGGGGAAACCCUUGGGGGUUCGACCCCCCCUUCUCGCACC